AUACUUACCUGGCAAGGGAGAAACUGUGAUCAAGAAGGCAGUUCACCCAGGGUGAGGCUCAGCCAUUGCACUCCGGCUGUGCUGACCCCUGCGAAUUUCCCAAAUGUGGAAAUCUCGAUUGCAUAAUUGUUC
ensembl:snRNA U1 U1 spliceosomal RNA